UAACCACUCCCGCGUGCGGGGUCUUGGGCAUCGCCUCCGGGCGGGCCUUAAAAUCAGUGGCGGUGCCGUCGGGCUCUACGCGUAGUACAUAAUCCUCGCGAUAGGGUCCCGGUGGAUGCUGGCCAACAACCCCCAACUUCUUAA
rnacentral:misc_RNA from 1 species